rnacentral:ncRNA from 1 species
UCGUUACCUUAACCGCAAGGAGGGGGAUGCCGAAGGCAGGGCUAGUGACUGGAGUGAAGUCGUAACAAGGUAGUUGUACUGGAAGGUAAGGCUGGAUCACCUCCUUU